rnacentral:rRNA from 1 species
AUACGGAGGGUGCGAGCGUUAAUCGGAAUUACUGGGCGUAAAGGGUGCGUAGGCGGUUUGAUAAGUCGGAUGUGGAAGCCCCGGGCUUAACCUGGGAAUGGCAUUCGAUACUGUCAGGCUAGAGUAUGUCAGAGGUUGGCGGAAUUCCUGGUGUAGCGGUGAAAUGCGUAGAUAUCAGGAGGAACACCAGUGGCGAAGGCGGCUAACUGGGGCAAUACUGACGCUGAGGCACGAAAGCGUGGGGAGCAAACAGGAUUAGAAACCCUAGUAGUCC